AUUGAACGCUGGCGGCAUGCCUUACACAUGCAAGUCGAACGGCAGCACGGGUGCUCGCACCUGGUGGCGAGUGGCGAACGGGUGAGUAAGAUAUCGGAACGUACCUUAUCGUGGGGGAUAACGCAGCGAAAGCUGUGCUAAUACCGCAUAAGCCAUAAGGGGGAAGGCAGGGGACAGGAAGGCCUUGCGCGACGAAAGCGGCAGAUACAUGAUAGGCUAGUUGGUGAGGUGAAGGCUCACCAAGGCAACGAUCAGUAGCUGGUCUGAGAGGACGAUCAGCCACACUGGGACUGAGACACGGCCCAGACUCCUACGGGAGGCAGCAGUGGGGAAUUUUGGACAAUGGGGGCAACCCUGAUCCAGCAAUGCCGCGUGAGUGAAGAAGGCCUUCGGGUUGUAAAGCUCUUUUGUCAGGGAAGAAACAGCAGCUCUAAUACAGUAUGCGAAUGACGGUACCUGAAGAAUAAGCACCGGCUAACUACGUGCGAGCCGCCGCGGUAA
rnacentral:rRNA from 1 species